CUAAGUAUAAGCAAUUAUACAGCGAAACUGCGAAUGGCUCAUUAUAUAAGUUAUCGUUUAUUUGAUAGUACCUUACUACAUGGAUAACCGUGGUAAUUCUAGAGCUAAUACAUGCUAAAAAUCCCGACUUCGGAAGGGAUGUAUUUAUUAGAUUAAAAACCAAUGCCCUCUGGGCUCUCUGGUGAUUCAUAAUAACUUCUCGAAUCGCACGGCCUUGCGCCGGCGAUGGUUCAUUCAAAUUUCUUCCCUAUCAACUUUCGAUGUUUGGGUAGUGGCCAAACAUGGUUGCAACGGGUAACGGAGGGUUAGGGCUCGACCCCGGAGAAGGAGCCUGAGAAACGGCUACUACAUCCAAGGAAGGCAGCAGGCGCGCAAAUUACCCAAUCCCGAUUCGGGGAGGUAGUGACAAUAAAUACUGAUACAGGGCUCUUUUGGGUCUUGUAAUUGGAAUGAGUACAAUUUAAAUCCCUUAACGAGGAACAAUUGGAGGGCAAGUCUGGUGCCAGCAGCCGCGGUAAUUCCAGCUCCAAUAGCGUAUAUUAAAGUUGUUGUGGUUAAAAAGCUCGUAGUUGAACCUUGGGCCUGGCUGGCCGGUCCGCCUCACCGCGUGUACUGGUCCGGCCGGGCCUUUCCCUCUGUAGAACCCCAUGCCCUUCACUGGGCGUGGCGGGGAAACAGGACUUUUACUUUGAAAAAAUUAGAGUGCUCCAGGCAGGCCUAUGCUCGAAUACAUUAGCAUGGAAUAAUAAAAUAGGACGUGCGGUUCUAUUUUGUUGGUUUCUAGGACCGCCGUAAUGAUUAAUAGGGACAGUCGGGGGCAUCAGUAUUCAAUUGUCAGAGGUGAAAUUCUUGGAUUUAUUGAAGACUAACUACUGCGAAAGCAUUUGCCAAGGAUGUUUUCAUUAAUCAGGAACGAAAGUUAGGGGAUCGAAGACGAUCAGAUACCGUCGUAGUCUUAACCAUAAACUAUGCCGACUAGGGAUCGGACGAUGUUAUUUUUUGACUCGUUCGGCACCUUACGAGAAAUCAAAGUGCUUGGGCUCC
rnacentral:rRNA from 1 species